rnacentral:lncRNA from 10 species
AUGCCUUUUAUGAACCACCAGGCUGAACCCUUCUCUGGAUCACGUUUGCUCUGGAGACACACAGGUCCCUGGAGCGGGUGACACACCUGAGAUUUGCCGCUGCCCGCAUUCCCGACGAUGAACACGGAGUGGCGGACCUGCAGCAGCUCCUCCAGCUGCACCACCUUCAGCACGAAGCUGUCCUCCGCCUGCAGCUUGAGCUCCACGAUGCUCUGCUUGAUGAUCUGGGGAGACAUGGAUGAGGCUGGUAGAGACAGGGUUUCACCAUGCUAGCAAGGAUGGUCUCGAUCUCCUGACCUCGUGAUCCGCCCGCCUCGGCCUCCCAAAGUACUGGGAUUACAGGCGUGAGCCACCACGCCCGGCCCCCAGAUGGACUUUUAUCACUCAGCAGAAUUCUCUGGAGAUGCACCCAGGCUGUUGCAGGAACCAGCUUUGGGACCCUGGAGGGCAAGAGCUCAAUGGCACCACACCACCCUUCGGUGCUUGGAACGUUGCAGAGAGGCAAGGAGGGUCUAUCUGGCGUGUGAGGUCACAGGAAAGCUGACGAGCCAGUCACCCGACGUGACCCCGAGGCCGCAGGCAGGGGACUUUACCUGCACGGCAAUCACAGACAAGACUUCCACUGAGAUGCGAUUAAACUCGUCAAAGCAGCCCCAGGCUCCCGUCUGGGCCAGGCCCUUGUAGAUAUUUCCACAGGACUGGAAAGGGCGAGAUGGAGAAAGGAAGAGCUGGGAGGGUGACAGGGAGGGCGGGCGCUGCAGGGGCCUCCCCCUGCCUCUUCGGCUGUGUUUUCUCUUCCCAAAGCUUGCUCAGGCCCCGGUGCAUUGGAGCCUUCCGCAGGCCAGCAGGCAGGUCAGCUUACUGCCCAGGGUAACACCGUGGAGGGCUGGACACGAGGAAGAGCCAUCCUUUCACCCUUGCCUCCCAGACCC